GCUAGUAAUGGCAGGUCAGCAUACUGCCGUGAAUACGUUCCCGGGCCUUGUACACACCGCCCGUCACACCAUGAGAGUUGGGAAUACCCGAAGCCUGUGAGCUAACGUUAAGAGGCAGCAGUCGAAGGUAGAAUCAAUGAUUGGGGUGAAGUCGUAACAAGGUAAC
rnacentral:rRNA from 1 species